rnacentral:rRNA from 1 species
GACGAACGCUGGCGGCGCGCCUAACACAUGCAAGUCGAACGAGCGAGAGAGAGCUUGCUUUCUCAAGCGAGUGGCGAACGGGUGAGUAACGCGUGAGGAACCUGCCUCAAAGAGGGGGACAACAGUUGGAAACGACUGCUAAUACCGCAUAAGCCCACGGCUCGGCAUCGAGCAGAGGGAAAAGGAGCAAUCCGCUUUGAGAUGGCCUCGCGUCCGAUUAGCUAGUUGGUGAGGUAACGGCCCACCAAGGCGACGAUCGGUAGCCGGACUGAGAGGUUGAACGGCCACAUUGGGACUGAGACACGGCCCAGACUCCUACGGGAGGCAGCAGUGGGGAAUAUUGCACAAUGGGGGAAACCCUGAUGCAGCGACGCCGCGUGGAGGAAGAAGGUCUUCGGAUUGUAAACUCCUGUUGUUGAGGAAGAUAAUGACGGUACUCAACAAGGAAGUGACGGCUAACUACGUGCCAGCAGCCGCGGUAAAACGUAGGUCACAAGCGUUGUCCGGAAUUACUGGGUGUAAAGGGAGCGCAGGCGGGAAGACAAGUUGGAAGUGAAAUCCAUGGGCUCAACCCAUGAACUGCUUUCAAAACUGUUUUUCUUGAGUAGUGCAGAGGUAGGCGGAAUUCCCGGUGUAGCGGUGGAAUGCGUAGAUAUCGGGAGGAACACCAGUGGCGAAGGCGGCCUACUGGGCACCCACUGACGCAGAGGCUCGAAAGUGUGGGUAGCAAACAGGAUUAGAUACCCUGGUAGUCCACACUGUAAACGAUGAUUACUAGGUGUUGGAGGAUUGACCCCUUCAGUGCCGCAGUUAACACAAUAAGUAAUCCACCUGGGGAGUACGACCGCAAGGUUGAAACUCAAAGGAAUUGACGGGGGCCCGCACAAGCAGUGGAGUAUGUGGUUUAAUUCGACGCAACGCGAAGAACCUUACCAAGUCUUGACAUCCUGCGACGGUGCUGGAAACAGAACUUUCCUUCGGGACGCAGAGACAGGUGGUGCAUGGUUGUCGUCAGCUCGUGUCGUGAGAUGUUGGGUUAAGUCCCGCAACGAGCGCAACCCUUAUGGUCAGUUACUACGCAAGAGGACUCUGGCCAGACUGCCGUUGACAAAACGGAGGAAGGUGGGGAUGACGUCAAAUCAUCAUGCCCUUUAUGACUUGGGCUACACACGUACUACAAUGGCGUUAAACAAAGAGAAGCAAGACCGCGAGGUGGAGCAAAACUCAGAAACAACGUCCCAGUUCGGACUGCAGGCUGCAACUCGCCUGCACGAAGUCGGAAUUGCUAGUAAUCGCAGAUCAGCAUGCUGCGGUGAAUACGUUCCCGGGCCUU